UGUCUCCUCCCUGUCGUAAAACAUCAGCUGGAGCAACAUUGCAGCCCAGUGUAUUCUGUGAAAGGAGAAUGGUGAUGGCACAGCAUCAUUCCAGUGCAGAUAGACAAGGAAAUUUGUCCUGAUGAUGAAUCUUGGCCCUGUCUGAGAUUACAGGGGGCAUCACAUUGUCACAAAAAGCCAUCAGCCAGUGGCAAGGCCAUGCGAACACGUCAUGGGUUAUACAUUGCACAAAAUGGCUGCUCUCUGCUGUCAAAUGGCAGCUGAACAAAACGGCGGCCCCGUGUGUGCCACAGGAAGGGGCCUGAUGUGAGGUGACUCUGGGUUACCUUCUGCUCCCAGUGGUAUGGCAUAGGGCCUACAGGUGGGCUGUGAGGUCACAGCAAAUGGAGACACCCUGACAGAAGGACAUGGCGUAAACAAAGCUCAUCACUGGAAGAGGGGAGGGACAUUUUUAUAGGAGACCAUGUGAGGGCCAGCAGGGGCAGAGCUUCCAGGGGACAUUUUGGGCAGAGACAGCCGUAUGUUUGUUAAAUAUUGCUGGAGAGGAUUACAUGGCCUUGGCUGGCUAGCAUCAUGUAAAACAGAUGAUCUGUAUAAUUUUAUGGAUCUGCAUAAUUGAUUACUCAAGCAACAUCCUAGACCCAAGCAGACAUCCCUUCCAGUCUUCAGUCCCAGUGUCCUCAGCAUGUCCUGCAUAAAGACUUCAAACACUGCUCUGUCCAGCGAGAGCCAUUGGAGAAAUGACUAAGAAAGCUAAGAUGAAGAGAGACAAUAUAACAUUAUGCCAUUAUCAACUUCACAGGGUACCCAUAUCUGUAAUGUUGAGUGAAAAUACCUCAUAGCUACAUGGAUUUAGUAGAUCUGCAGAAAUUUCAAGGGAAAAAAGAUGAUCCAAGGCCUACAAAGUCUCCCACAAAGGCUUAUGAUGUAAGUACUCAGCCUUCAAAACUUCAAAAAUGAAAAUAAUUUUAAUCAAUUAUUCACUCUUUCUUCCCAUUUAAGAACCAGGGGCAACAAAUUACUCCACCAGACAGUAGGCUAAGGCCAAUCAAAAGGCGUUUAUUCACUCAGUGUGUAGUCAUGUGGUAUAUGUCAUGGUUAAAGCUCAGUAGGCCGCUAAGCACCACACAGCUUCUCACUCACACCUCCUCAUUGGGAUGGGAAGAGUAUUAGAAGAGAAAAAGUGAGAAAAUUAAUGGAUUGACAUUAAUGCAGAUUAAUAUACAAAGGAAGUGUGCAUUAAUAAAGAAAGAGGAAGAAUUCACUCCCUGCCAUGGGCAGGCAGGCAUUCAGACAUUUCUAGGGUUUCAUCACACAUAGCCAUUACUUGGAGAGACAAAUGCCAUAACUACCAAGAUCCCCACUUCCUUUUUCUUCCUCCUCACAGCAUUUAGUGCUAAGCACACCACCAUAUGGUAUGGGAUAUUAUUUUGGUCAGUUGGGGUCAGCUACCCUGGCUAUGUCCCCUCCUAAUCUCCGGCCCACUCCUACCCUACUCAUUGAUGAGGCAAUGUGAGAAGUAGAAAAGGCCUUGACACUGAUCAACACUGCGUUGGUGACAAAUCCAAAAUACAACACCAUGUUAUAUCCUACAAAGAAAAUGAACUGUAUUCCAGCCAAAACCAUUACCAUAUAAUAUGUAGAAUCUGUGUCACAGUAUGCUGAAAAUGGUGGUGUCAUGAGCUGGACAAGUUCAUGAGGGAGCCACCAGAGGCUUUAAAUAUCUACCAGCCAUUUCUAGUGGUAGAAAUUGCUGAGCAGUGGGACAGAACUCCAAGAAAGGAUCAGAUAUGCUUUCCCUCUUCUGCCCUUGAUGUGAAAAGCCACUGCUGACCACUGCUGGAGGCAGGACAGCUGAGCAUGAGUGGCUUUCAUCUGACACAGAGUGAUCCCUACUAUAACAGACCUGCACAAAACAUUUAUGAGCAAAUUGCAGUCUUAAACAAUGACAUAAUAUAAUAAUUAUCUCUGCUUAGUUCUUUAUUCCUAAUAAAUCCUAGCACAAAUGACAUCUCA